GCUCAUUUCUUCUAUUAUUCUCUCUAUACGUUAGUGUUCUAACCAAUAAUCACCGAUGCUAUAUUAUGUUCGAUCGAUUCAGGAACCAACUAACGGAUGCCAAAGUAAUAUACUUUGUGAGUUCGUUAAGCGGAUGCCAAAGUGCUAUACUUUGCUAAAGUGCUGUCUAAUAAGACUAUAGUUUGUGAAAUUCGUUAAGGUUCGAAUCUCGUGACCAUCGUUAGGUUUGAUUAGGUUUAACACUUAUACGUAUUCCAUUCUGUUAAACUAAAUGUUUAACUACUCGAAACUCUACACCAUACACUUACAAUCAAAAUGGAUGCUUAAUCAUCAGAGGAUUCAGAACUAUAAAGUAGAUUCUUAGAAUCAAGAUGCUUGUUUAAUCAAGACUAUAUGCUAACAAGGUAAUUACAGUAGAUUGGAAUAAGAGUGAUGAUACGACAUCGAAAGGCUUAAAGAAGUGGCUUAUUUUAUCAAUUAAAUUAAAUCAAGAAAUGUUGUUCAUGCUGAAGCUACUUUGUACAACAUGGGUUUAACCCCAUUUAUUUAAUAAAUAAAAUCCGUUGUUUCCUAAACUCUGAUAUUUUUCCUAACUCACGGUCCUGAUGAACAUUUCUGCUGCAAUGUUUUUAAAAUAACCACCGAUACCACAUGACUACUCGCGGCUCCUGUCCAGGGUGUGGUCGAGGGUUGUGACAGAUUUUAAGCUUAUAUUUUGUGUUGUUGGAAAUUGACAAGUAAAGUAUAAUGUUGGAUAAGAAUAUGAAAUGGAUGCAAUAUUAGAAUGUGCGCUUGUACUAAUGAAAUGGUAACCAUGAUGACAUGAAAGUGUAGGACCAUGUCAAGGUGGGGGAAAAAUGCCAAUUCCGCACCAGCUCUGAUAACAAAGCAGUAGGCAAGCCUUAGGACCAUCCAUACCUCUGGAAGGCUAACGGAAAGGAAAUGAGGAAGCACGCACGAAACGGGCACUCGAGGUAAGUGAAUCUCGAUUCACUUCUUAGUAAAUAUAAUGAAUUUUGAUGCUUAUCAAUAUGGCGUAUCUCAUAAGAUGUUGUAAUAAUCAGGAGUACUAAGUUAAGUAUUAUUUUAGUAGGACGAAGGUUGUUUAAGUAGAAAGCAAAUUGGUGGGAUUAAACGGUCGAAUAAAUGUGCAUAUGUAAUGUAGUGAUUUGUAUUUAGUAAAGAUUAAGGACCCGGGGUAAAGGUUUUUAGUCAAAUAUGUAAGGGAAAUAUUUUAUGGAUAAUUAGAAAUAAGUUUCAACUGUUUCGGAUGUAAAUUGGUCAAGAUAUGCUAGUUUUUACAUGAAUAAAAUGGAAGUUGAGCUGGUCACUACCGUAGCUUACGGUAGCCACCGUAAGCUACGGUAGGUUCUGAAGUCUCUAUGGCCACCGUAAGCCAGUAGUAUCUCACCGUAAAGAUUUUAUGGCCACCGUAAGCUACGGUAGCCACCGUAGCUUAUGGUGGAGCUGUCGCGCCCCGCGAAGUAGUAAGCCAAGGCUUACGCGUCCCGCGAGGGACCGUGCUGCUGGCAUUUUGUUGGAUUUUUGAUGUUCUGAGCAUGGGACUUGAUUAAAAGGGUUAUCUAAGGUCUCAUAACUUACGUUAGGGUUAGUUUCGAAUAAAAGCGAUGACAAAGGUCAUCGGUUAGUGAAAGAAUGGUUUUGCUUUUGUGUUAGUAUAGGAAAUUCUAUAUAUAAAUAUGAUUAGGAAUCUAGUAGGCACAUAAGUCGAUUUGUAUAUCGCCUAUAUUAUGCAUGUUGUGAAUAGGCCAUGUUUGGCAUAAGCGUACGAGUAUGUAGUGGUAAGCAUCAGUCCGUGUGUGUAUAUAUAUUUAUGAAUGAUUGUUUGUACAUGGGUAGAGACGUAGGCAUGCAUGAAGGUACGUUUGUCCAUAAGUAUAUUUGAUAAUAAGAGUGUAAGAGUGAAUGUAUGUGUGUAUGAAUGUACGAUGCUCAAGAUAUACGUAUGAACGUUAUCAAGGCGUCUGAUACGCGCAAAACGCAACAUAUAAAUUGUAUCAAUUGUGGCAUAAAACUAACCCUUUUUUUAGUAUUAAUGUUGGAAAAAGUGUGCUUUUGUCUUCCUUUUGUAUUUUCAGGAUUAAAUGAGCUCAAAUUAACAAA
rnacentral:lncRNA from 1 species